UUGUGUUAGGGAUAGUAGCGGCAUCCUUUUUUGCUUUCUACAGAAGUAGAACUAAUAAGCAAAAAGAUAUAGCGAAUAGCCCGACCCAAA
rnacentral:sRNA from 2 species